GAUGAACGCUGGCGGUAGGCCUAACACAUGCAAGUCGAACGGCAGCACAGGAGAGCUUGCUCUCUGGGUGGCGAGUGGCGGACGGGUGAGGAAUACAUCGGAAUCUACUUUUUCGUGGGGGAUAACGUAGGGAAACUUACGCUAAUACCGCAUACGACCUACGGGUGAAAGCAGGGGAUCUUCGGACCUUGCGCGAUUGAAUGAGCCGAUGUCGGAUUAGCUAGUUGGCGGGGUAAAGGCCCACCAAGGCGACGAUCCGUAGCUGGUCUGAGAGGAUGAUCAGCCACACUGGAACUGAGACACGGUCCAGACUCCUACGGGAGGCAGCAGUGGGGAAUAUUGGACAAUGGGCGCAAGCCUGAUCCAGCCAUACCGCGUGGGUGAAGAAAGCCUUCGGGUUGUAAAGCCCUUUUGUUGGGAAAGAAAU
rnacentral:rRNA from 2 species